UACGUAGGGGGCAAGCGUUGUCCGGAAUCAUUGGGCGUAAAGAGCGCGUAGGCGGUCCGGUAAGUCCGCUCUGAAAGUCCGGGGCUCAACCCCGGGAGGCGGGCGGAUACUGUCGGGCUAGAGUCCGGAAGAGGCGAGUGGAAUUCCUGGUGUAGCGGUGAAAUGCGCAGAUAUCAGGAGGAACACCGAUGGCGAAGGCAGCUCGCUGGGGCGGUACUGACGCUGAGGAGCGAAAGUGUGGGGAGCGAACAGG
rnacentral:rRNA from 1 species